GACAGCGUGGCCGAGCGGUCUAAGGCGCCAGACUCAAGUGAAAACUUGUCUGCGUUAAGCAGAUCUGAGUGUUCUGGUCAGUGAAUACUGGCGUGGGUUCGAAUCCCACCGCUGUCA
rfam:Trichuris trichiura, WGS project CBXK01000000 data, contig: TTRE_656